rfam:Colius striatus contig27996, whole genome shotgun sequence.
AAUGCUUCUCAGCCUUUUGACUGAGAUCAAGUGUAGAAUCUGUUCUUAUCAGUUUAAUAUCUUAUCCUCGAUGAGAGGACUUCAUAUUAAAUGGAGUUUUGGUGUUGGGAGUUGGACCCAGCACUUGCUUACUCCACUCUGGACAUGUCCCAGGAUUGCAGUGCCUCAGGGGAAUGGGUUUUUUUA